UAACUUACGUGGACGGGGUCAAUGGGUGGUCAAUCAAAAAAUACUCAUGGCCUAGAUCAAUUGCUCACACUGCACUUGGUGAGCAUGUUGAUCUACCAUCUCCCCUUUGGGAGAGUGGACGUCGUAAUUUGUGGUGGAGGGGGUACGCGUUCGCGCGGCCCCUUG